rnacentral:rRNA from 1 species
CCGUGCCAGCAGCCGCGGUAAUACGGAGGGUGGGAGCGUUAAUCGGAAUUACUGGGCGUAAAGCGCAUGCAGGUGGUUUGUUAAGUCAGAUGUGAAAGCCCGGGGCUCAACCUCGGAAUUGCAUUUGAAACUGGCAAACUAGAGUACUGUAGAGGGGGGUAGAAUUUCAGGUGUAGCGGUGAAAUGCGUAGAGAUCUGAAGGAAUACCGGUGGCGAAGGCGGCCCCCUGGACAGAUACUGACACUCAGAUGCGAAAGCGUGGGGAGCAAACAGGAUUAGAUACCCUGGUAGUCCACGCCGUAAACGAUGUCUACUUGGAGGUUGUGGCCUUGAGCCGUGGCUUUCGGAGCUAACGCGUUAAGUAGACCGCCUGGGGAGUACGGUCGCAAGAUUAAAACUCAAAUGAAUUGACGGGGGCCCGCACAAGCGGUGGAGCAUGUGGUUUAAUUCGAUGCAACGCGAAGAACCUUACCUACUCUUGACAUCUACAGAAGCCAGCGGAGACGCAGGUGUGCCUUCGGGAACUGUAAGACAGGUGCUGCAUGGCUGUCGUCAGCUCGUGUUGUGAAAUGUUGGGUUAAGUCCCGCAACGAGCGCAACCCUUAUCCUUGUUUGCCAGCACUUCGGGUGGGAACUCCAGGGAGACUGCCGGUGAUAAACCGGAGGAAGGUGGGGACGACGUCAAGUCAUCAUGGCCCUUACGAGUAGGGCUACACACGUGCUACAAUGGCGCAUACAGAGGGCGGCCAACUUGCGAAAGUGAGCGAAUCCCAAAAAGUGCGUCGUAGUCCGGAUUGGAGUCUGCAACUCGACUCCAUGAAGUCGGAAUCGCUAGUAAUCGUGGAUCAGAAUGCCACGGUGAAUACGUUCCCGGGCCUUGUACACACCGCCCGUCACACCAUGGGAGUGGGCUGCAAAAGAAGUGGGUAGUUUAACCUUCGGGAGGACGCUCACCACUUUGUGGUUCAUGACUGGGGUGAAGUCGUAACAAGGUAACCG